AUUGAACGCUGGCGGCAGGCCUAACACAUGCAAGUCGAGCGGAUGAAGGGAGCUUGCUCCUGGAUUCAGCGGCGGACGGGUGAGUAAUGCCUAGGAAUCUGCCUGGUAGUGGGGGAUAACGUCCGGAAACGGGCGCUAAUACCGCAUACGUCCUGAGGGAGAAAGUGGGGGAUCUUCGGACCUCACGCUAUCAGAUGAGCCUAGGUCGGAUUAGCUAGUUGGUGGGGUAAAGGCCUACCAAGGCGACGAUCCGUAACUGGUCUGAGAGGAUGAUCAGUCACACUGGAACUGAGACACGGUCCAGACUCCUACGGGAGGCAGCAGUGGGGAAUAUUGGACAAUGGGCGAAAGCCUGAUCCAGCCAUGCCGCGUGUGUGAAGAAGGUCUUCGGAUUGCAAAGCACUUUAAGUUGGGAGGAAGGGCAGUAAGUUAAUACCUUGCUGGUUUGACGUUAACAACAGAAGAAGCACCGGCUAACUUCGUG
rnacentral:rRNA from 1 species